rnacentral:rRNA from 1 species
UACGAGUGCCCCAAGCGUUAUCCGGAAUUAUUGGGCGUAAAGGGUGUGUAGGUGGUUUUGUUAGUCUUCUGUUAAAUUCUUCGGCUUAACCGGGGGUCAGCAGGGGAAACGGCAAGACUAGAGGAUGCGAGGGGUGAAUGGAACUCAUAGUGUAGGGGUGAAAUCCGUUGAUAUUAUGGGGAACACCAAAAGCGAAGGCAGUUCACUGGCGCAUUCCUGACACUGAAACACGAAAGCGUGGGUGGCGAAUGGG